rnacentral:rRNA from 1 species
AGUGAACGCUGGCGGUAGGCCUAACACAUGCAAGUCGAACGGCAGCACAGUAAGAGCUUGCUCUUACGGGUGGCGAGUGGCGGACGGGUGAGGAAUACAUCGGAAUCUACUUUUUCGUGGGGGAUAACGUAGGGAAACUUACGCUAAUACCGCAUACGACCUACGGGUGAAAGCAGGGGAUCUUCGGACCUUGCGCGAUUGAAUGAGCCGAUGUCGGAUUAGCUAGUUGGCGGGGUAAAGGCCCACCAAGGCGACGAUCCGUAGCUGGUCUGAGAGGAAGAUCAGCCACACUGGAACUGAGACACGGUCCAGACUCCUACGGGAGGCAGCAGUGGGGAAUAUUGGACAAUGGGCGCAAGCCUGAUCCAGCCAUACCGCGUGGGUGAAGAAGGCCUUCGGGUUGUAAAGCCCUUUUGUUGGGAAAGAAAAGCAGCAGGUUAAUACCCCGCUGUUCUGACGGUACCCAAAGAACAAGCACCGGCUAACUUCGUG